rnacentral:ncRNA from 1 species
GAAAGCCGUAUGCUUUGGAAGAAGCUUGUACAGUUUGGGAAGGGGUUUUUUGAGAGAAAAGAAGAAUCUACUUCAA